UACGUAGGUGACCAGCGUUGUCCGGAUUUAUUGGGCGUAAAGAGCUCGUAGGCGGCUUGUUGCGUCGUCCGUGAAAACCCGUGGCUCAACUGCGGGCUUGCGGACGAUACGGGCAGGCUGGAGUUCGGUAGGGGAGACUGGAAUUCCUGGUGUAGCGGUGAAAUGCGCAGAUAUCAGGAGGAACACCGGUGGCGAAGGCGGGUCUCUGGGCCGAUACUGACGCUGAGGAGCGAAAGCGUGGGGAGCGAACAGG
rnacentral:rRNA from 1 species